GAUGAACGCUGGCGGCGUGCCUAAUACAUGCAAGUCGAGCGAACAGACGAGGAGCUUGCUCCUCUGACGUUAGCGGCGGACGGGUGAGUAACACGUGGAUAACCUACCUGUAAGACUGGGAUAACUUCGGGAAACCGGAGCUAAUACCGGAUAAUAUAUUGAACCGCAUGGUUCAAUAGUGAAAGACGGUUUUGCUGUCACUUAUAGAUGGAUCCGCGCCGCAUUAGCUAGUUGGUAAGGUAACGGCUUACCAAGGCGACGAUGCGUAGCCGACCUGAGAGGGUGAUCGGCCACACUGGAACUGAGACACGGUCCAGACUCCUACGGGAGGCAGCAGUAGGGAAUCUUCCGCAAUGGGCGAAAGCCUGACGGAGCAACGCCGCGUGAGUGAUGAAGGUCUUCGGAUCGUAAAACUCUGUUAUUAGGGAAGAACAAAUGUGUAAGUAACUAUGCACGUCUUGACGGUACCUAAUCAGAAAGCCACGGCUAACUUCGUG
rnacentral:rRNA from 1 species